UACAGAGAGUGCAAGCGUUAAUCGGAGUUACUGGGCGUAAAGCGCACGUAGGUGGAUAAUUUAGUCGGAUGUGAAAGCCCCGGGCUUAACCUGGGAAUUGCACCCGAUACUGAUUGUCUAGAGUAUAGUAGAGGGAAGUGGAAUUUCCGGUGUAGCGGUGAAAUGCGUAGAUAUCGGAAAGAACACCAGUGGCGAAGGCGGCUUCCUGGACUAAUACUGACACUGAGGUGCGAAAGCGUGGGUAGCAAACAGG
rnacentral:misc_RNA from 1 species